GUGAGUAAUGUCUGGGAAACUGCCUGAUGGAGGGGGAUAACUACUGGAAACGGUAGCUAAUACCGCAUAACGUCGCAAGACCAAAGUGGGGGACCUUCGGGCCUCAUGCCAUCAGAUGUGCCCAGAUGGGAUUAGCUAGUAGGUGGGGUAACGGCUCACCUAGGCGACGAUCCCUAGCUGGUCUGAGAGGAUGACCAGCCACACUGGAACUGAGACACGGUCCAGACUCCUACGGGAGGCAGCAGUGGGGAAUAUUGCACAAUGGGCGCAAGCCUGAUGCAGCCAUGCCGCGUGUAUGAAGAAGGCCUUCGGGUUGUAAAGUACUUUCAGCGGGGAGGAAGGCGAUAAGGUUAAUAACCUUGUCGAUUGACGUUACCCGCAGAAGAAGCACCGGCUAACUCCGUGCCAGCAGCCGCGGUAAUACGGAGGGUGCAAGCGUUAAUCGGAAUUACUGGGCGUAAAGCGCACGCAGGCGGUCUGUCAAGUCGGAUGUGAAAUCCCCGGGCUCAACCUGGGAACUGCAUUCGAAACUGGCAGGCUAGAGUCUUGUAGAGGGGGGUAGAAUUCCAGGUGUAGCGGUGAAAUGCGUAGAGAUCUGGAGGAAUACCGGUGGCGAAGGCGGCCCCCUGGACCAAGACUGACGCUCAGGUGCGAAAGCGUGGGGAGCAACAGGAUAGAUACCCUGGUAGUCACGCCGUAACGAUGUCGUUUGGAGGUGUGCCUUGAGGCUGGCUCCGGAGCUACGCGUUAA
rnacentral:rRNA from 1 species